rnacentral:lncRNA from 1 species
GUUCUCUUGCAUCGCUUGCUCCAGGGGAAGCCAUCUGCCAUGCUGGAGGACACCCAAGCAGCAAUGUGCAGAGGCCCACGUGGAGAGAAACUGAGCCUUCCUAGUCACAGCCACCAACUUGCCACCCAGCUCUUAGACCACACUGAAUGGACAAGAAGAGGCGAGGAGGAGACAGCAACUCCCGACAGUGGUGACGAGCCAAGCUGGAGGAAUGGACAGAGGCGGUGCCUUUGCAGCAUGGUUGUAAAGGCUUGCUUGGGAAGGAACUCCCACUUCCAAAAAGGAAAAAAAGAGACCUGCCACCUAAAAUUUUAUGGGAAUAAAAUUACUCCUUCAUCUUCUUAAAUACGGACACUCCAAGAAGAAAGAUACCAAUUUAUUCCAGGAUUUGGCAAAGACAGCAAUUGAGGGCACUAUGGGGCAUUUGGGACACCACGGAGGGAGCUGAGGGAUUCAGAAAUGGGGAGGGACCAAGGGUGACUGGAGUGAGGGUGGGGCCUGGAG